AUGAUCUAUGUUGUGUUGAAGGGUGUCAAAUGUGAUGUUGUACCUGGUCGUUCAAAUCUUACCUCCAUCUCGGUACAACGAGAAGGAGUUUACUAUGGUCAGUGCAGUGAGAUUCGUGGAACUAAUCGUGCCUUUACGCCUAUCGUUCUCUUUGCUUAG
rnacentral:rRNA from 1 species